rnacentral:rRNA from 1 species
ACGGGAGGCAGCAGUGAGGAAUAUUGGUCAAUGGAGGCAACUCUGAACCAGCCAUCUCGCGUGAAGGAAUACGGCCCUACGGGUCUUAAACUUCUUUUAUAGGGGGAUAAAGUGAGAUAUGUAUAUCUUUUUGUAGGUACCCUAUGAAUAAGCAUCGGCUAACUCCGUGCCAGCAGCCGCGGUAAUACGGAGGAUGCGAGCGUUAUCCGGAUUUAUUGGGUUUAAAGGGAGCGUAGGCGGAAGGUCAAGUCAGCUGUGAAAUGUAGUCGCUCAACGUCUGCACUGCAGUUGAAACUGGCCUCCUUGAGUGCGUAAGAGGCGGGCGGAAUUCGUCGUGUAGCGGUGAAAUGCUUAGAUAUGACGAAGAACUCCGAUUGCGAAGGCAGCUCGCUGGGCCGCAACUGACGCUGAAGCUCGAAGGUGCGGGUAUCAAACAGGAUUAGAUACCCUGGUA